AGAGGAAGAACCAGAGGAAGAACUUGAAGAAGAGAGCGAAAGUGAAGAAUCUGUAGAGGAUGAUCCAGCAAUCAGCACACAAGAACGAUUAUUGAUAGACUGUGUAACUACUUUCAAUAUGCUACUUGCAGAUGGUGAAAUCGAAGAUGCGAUUCUCUUUGCUGCCCAUUCGCCACAGGGGAUUUUACGAAGCCAAGAAACUUUGGAAUCAUUGAAACUCAUGGGAAGAGAAAUACUAAAUACAUACUGGGAAGCUUUGCUGCUGUCAAUGUUGAUACAGCACAAGAAGCUUU